rnacentral:misc_RNA from 1 species
GUUUGUGUAUAUUUGCUGUUUGUUACUUUUUAACACACACCAGUACAUCAAUGUGGAUGAACCUGCCUAUAGCUUUACUCUUGGUUUCUGGAUCACGUAUAUUGUUUAAUGAAGUGGAGUUCCGCUGGAAAGUUCGGAAUGUCCGACCACCAACAUACUUGGCGCACUUAGAAAAGAAGCAGCUAUCUAUGAAUGAUAGCCGACUUUCUACCUCACCGCCCACACUGAAAUGGAAGAGAAAAAUCGGU